AGAGCCUCCAGAAAAUAUCAGUGCUGCUGACCCCUUGACAUUAGCCUGUUGAGAUCCACGUGAGACUUCUGACCUCCAGAACUAGAGAAGAAUACUGAAGUGUUAAAAUGAAAAUGAUUUUCCCCAUUUUAAACAUCUAGUGGUUAACAAGACAAAGAUGUGUCUCCAGGGUGAUUUUACUGUGGUGACAUUUGGCUGAAAUGAGACCAUUGGGAUCCAAACAUACUCCCAAAUGGAAGAAGACUUCCUGGUCUCAUUCCACCUCCAGAAACAGAAGAGUUCUACACACUCUGCAGAAGGCUCCUCCCGAGAGGCUCAUAAUCAGCACUCAGGAAGGUAGGAUGGGUGGUAAAAAGAUUUAUGCAUUAGUGGCUAUGUUUUCAGGAGGCAAGUGAUAAAGAGAUCCUGGAGGGCUUGUUGUGAGCAGUUAGAGUUUCAGAAGUUCAGUAAGGGGAAGCAAAGGUAUAUUGUUUCCUUUCUAUUGCUUACUUCAGGUAUAUUGUCUCCUUUCUAUUGCUUACUUCUAAUUUCAUUUAUUCUUCUUAUUCUAUUUUUAACCGUAAAAUUUAGAUAUAUAAUUUUAAACUGUUUGCAAUAAGUGAUUUGACUUUUUAUAAUUAUACAUUUCCCUCCCUAGAAUGCUUUAGGUGCAGUAUAAGUUCUGAUAUGCUAUAUUUUCAUUACGAUUUAUUUAAAAAUACUUCAUGUGACUUUUUGACAAACAGAUUCUUUAGAAAAUGUU